AUUGAACGCUGGCGGCAUGCCUUACACAUGCAGGUCGAACGGUAACGCGGGGCAACCUGGCGACGAGUGGCGAACGGGUGAGUAAUAUAUCGGAACGUGCCCAGUAGUGGGGGAUAGCCCGGCGAAAGCCGGAUUAAUACCGCAUGAGACCUGAGGGUGAAAGCGGGGGAUCGCAAGACCUCGCGCUAUUGGAGCGGCCGAUAUCAGAUUAGGUAGUUGGUGGGGUAAAGGCCUACCAAGCCGACGAUCUGUAGCUGGUCUGAGAGGACGACCAGCCACACUGGGACUGAGACACGGCCCAGACUCCUACGGGAGGCAGCAGUGGGGAAUUUUGGACAAUGGGCGCAAGCCUGAUCCAGCCAUGCCGCGUGCGGGAAGAAGGCCUUCGGGUUGUAAACCGCUUUUGUCAGGGAAGAAAUCUUCUGGGUUAAUACCUCGGGAGGAUGACGGUACCUGAAGAAUAAGCACCGGCUAACUACGUG
rnacentral:rRNA from 1 species